GGGCGCAUAGCUCAGCGGGAGAGCGCCCGCUUCACACGCGGGAGGUCGGUGGUUCGAUCCCACCUGCGCCCA
rnacentral:tRNA from 1 species